UACGGGGGGGGGCAAGCGUUGUUCGGAAUUACUGGGCGUAAAGGGCUCGUAGGCGGCCAACUAAGUCGGAUGUGAAAUCCCCAGGCUUAACCUGGGAACUGCAUCCGAUACUGGAUGGCUUGAAUUCGGGAGAGGGAUGCAGAAUUCCAGGUGUAGCGGUGAAAUGCGUAGAUAUCUGGAGGAAUACCGGUGGCGAAGGCGGCAUCCUGGACCGACAUUGACGCUGAGUGAGCGAAAGCUAGGGGAGCAAACGGG
rnacentral:rRNA from 1 species